AACGUAGGAGACGAACGUUAUCCGGAGUUACUGGGCGUAAAGGGCGUGUAGGCGGUUUGUUAAGUCUGGCGUGAAAGCUCUCGGCUAAACCGGGAGAGGUCGUUGGAUACUGGCGAACUAGAGGAUGGUAGAGGCGUGUGGAAUUCCGGGUGUAGUGGUGAAAUGCGCAGAUAUCAGGAGGAACACCGAUGGCGAAGGCAGGUCUCUGGGCCACUACUGACGCUGAGAAGCGAAAGCAUGGGGAGCGAACAGG
rnacentral:rRNA from 1 species